GACGAACGCUGGCGGCGUGCCUAAUACAUGCAAGUAGAACGCACAGUUUAUACCGUAGCUUGCUACACCAUAGACUGUGAGUUGCGAACGGGAGAGUAACGCGUAGGUAACCUGCCUGGUAGCGGGGGAUAACUAUUGAGAACGAUAGCUAAUACCGCAUAAUAUUCAUUAUUGCAUGAUAAUUAAUUGAAAGGUGCAAUUGCACCACUACCAGAUGGACCUGCGUUGUAUUAGCUAGUAGGUGAGGUAACGGCUCACCUAGGCGACGAUACAUAGGCGAACGGGGAGGGUGAUCGGCCACACUGGGACUGAGACACGGCCCAGACUCCUACGGGAGGGAGCAGUAGGGAAUCUUCGGCAAGGGAGGAAAGUCUUACCGAGAAACGCCGCGUGAGUGAAGAAGGUUGUCGGAUCGGAAAGCUCUGUUGUAAGAGAAGAACGGGUGUGAGAGUGGAAAGUUCACACUGUGACGGUAUCUUACCAGAAAGGGACGGCUAACUACGUG
rnacentral:rRNA from 1 species